GACGAACGCUGGCGGCGUGCCUAACACAUGCAAGUCGUACGAGGACACCCCUUCGGGGGUGAGCCGAGUGGCGGACGGGUGAGUAACACGUGACCAAUCUGCCUUCGAGAGGGGGAUAACCUGGGGAAACCCGGGCUAAUGCCGCAUGACGUGUCAUGCUCGCAUGGGCGUGACACCAAAGGAAGGCCUCUACUUGUAAGCUUUCGCUCGAAGAGGAGGUCGCGACGUAUCAGCUAGUUGGUAGGGUAACGGCCUACCAAGGCGACGACGCGUAGCGGGUCUGAGAGGACGACCCGUCACAUUGGGACUGAGAUACGGCCCAGACUCCUACGGGAGGCAGCAGUGGGGAAUAUUGCGCAAUGGCCGAAAGGCUGACGCAGCGACGCCGCGUGUGGGAGGAAGCCCUUCGGGGUGUAAAGCCACUGUCGGGAGGGACGAACCCCGGACGGGCGAAUAGCCCGGACGGCUGACGGUACCUCCAAAAGGAAGCACCGGCUAACUCCGUGCCAGCAGCCGCGGUAAGACGGAGGGUGCAAGCGUUGUUCGGAAUUACUGGGCGUAAAGCGCGGGCAGGUGGUCUUUUAAGUCCUGUGUGAAAAUCCCGGGGCUCAACUCCGGAUGUGCAUAGGAUACUGGAAGACUAGAGACUGGUAGAGGCGAGCGGAAUUCCUGGUG
rnacentral:rRNA from 1 species